rnacentral:rRNA from 1 species
CAGAAGUGCGAAUGCUGACAUAAGUAACGAUAAAGCGGGUGAAAAGCCCGCUCGCCGGAAGACCAAGGGUUCCUGUCCAACGUUAAUCGGGGCAGGGUGAGUCGACCCCUAAGGCGAGGCCGAAAGGCGUAGUCGAUGGGAAACAGGUUAAUAUUCCUGUACUUGGUGUUACUGCGAAGGGGGGACGGAGAAGGCUAUGUUGGCCGGGCGACGGUUGUCCCGGUUUAAGCGUGUAGGCUGGUUUUCCAGGCAAAUCCGGAAAAUCAAGGCUGAGGCGUGAUGACGAGGCACUACGGUGCUGAAGCAACAAAUGCCCUGCUUCCAGGAAAAGCCUCUAAGCAUCAGGUAACAUCAAAUCGUACCCCAAACCGACACAGGUGGUCAGGUAGAGAAUACCAAGGCGCUUGAGAGAACUCGGGUGAAGGAACUAGGCAAAAUGGUGCCGUAACUUCGGGAGAAGGCACGCUGAUAUGUAGGUGAAGUCCCUUGCGG